rnacentral:rRNA from 1 species
GACGAACGCUGGCGGCGUGCCUAAUACAUGCAAGUCGAGCGGACGAAUCGAAAGCUUGCUUUUGAUUCGUUAGCGGCGGACGGGUGAGUAACACGUGGGCAACCUGCCCUGUAGACGGGGAUAACACCGAGAAAUCGGUGCUAAUACCGGAUAACACGAAAUGUCGCAUGACGUUUCGUUGAAAGACGGCGCAAGCUGUCGCUACAGGACGGGCCCGCGGCGCAUUAGCUAGUUGGGGAGGUAACGGCUCACCAAGGCGACGAUGCGUAGCCGACCUGGGAGGGUGAUCGGCCACACUGGGACUGAGACACGGCCCAGACUCCUCCGGGAGGCAGCAGUAGGGAAUCUUCCGCAAUGGACGAAAGUCUGACGGAGCAACGCCGCGUGAGCGAAGAAGGCCUUCGGGUCGUAAAGCUCUGUUGUUAGGGAAGAACAAGUAACGCAGUAACUGGCGUUACCGUGACGGUACCUAACGAGAAAGCCACGGCUAACUACGUGCCAGCCGCCGCGGUAA